AUAUCUGAAAAUUACAAAAUUUAAACCUCACUACAACUCUCAUUUCCUCUCUGCAAAACGGGAAUGAGAGCAUGGAAACUUAGGAAGGUUAAACCCCUCGCUGAUGGUCACAAAGCAGAGGCAGGAUUUCAGCCCAGGAGACGUGGGAGAACACAGCCCUGCUGCUGAGCAGUGAAACUGACCGUGGCUGUAAAGGACUGCAGAGCAACCAGAGGGCUCUCUUGCUCUCCAAAAACUCAGGCUUAGUGCAGUGGGGGUGGGGCCCAGGGCUGUGAGAGCAGACACCAGGCUUCAGGUCAGCACCUGAGUCAAUCAUAUGCCACAGCAGAUCCUGUGAAUGAGUUCUGACAAGUGACCAGAUAACUAUUCUUCUGCUCACCAUAAGUGGUCGCCAUCUUUUACAAAACCUAGUGGCACACGGCCAAAGAAGAGAACUUAAAGUUCAAGGUGCGUGCUCUAGCACUAAAGGUUUCCUGAGGCGAAACAACCAUGCCUUCCGCUGCUGGGGAUGAACAAGAAAGAGAAGUGAAAGUGAGGAGAGGCAGAAAAGAGGAAAGAGAAAGUCAAGCUUCUGAGAAGCUGAGAAUGGGCUCAGCCAAUGCCAAUUUCUGAGACCUUCAAAAAACGAAAAAAAUGGAGAAAUGCCAAAGCUGGGUUACUAAAUUACAGUGUAUUUCAGAUUUUUCAAGUUAAUAAAUAAAGUUGCAAAGUGAACAGUGUUUUGAUCUGUCAGUGGCUAUCUCCUUUGGAAAUAACAUCAGAGUCUAAUUUGAAUCUUUGUGAAUAUGGAGCCCAAGCCAGUAACAGCACUACUAUCCACAACGCAGCCCCAGGUGCCCACCGAAAAAGCCUCAAUAGAGUGGGAGUAAAAGUUUAGAAAAAUGGACUAAAGAGGAUACAAAGAGAAGAGUAGCAAGGAAGCCAGUAAAGAGAUCACUACCUGGGGGCUCCAAUAACUGGAAGCCAGGGGAAGAGGUGCAGAAACAAAGUAGAAAAGGAGAAAGAAGAGGAACCAGGAAGACUUGGAACACUGCUUACAGUGGAUUCAGGUGCACUGG
rnacentral:lncRNA from 1 species